rnacentral:rRNA from 1 species
UUUGUAUAAUGGGUCAGCGACUUAUAUUCUGUAGCAAGGUUAACCGUAUAGGGGAGCCGAAGGGAAACCGAGUCUUAACCGGGCGUUAAGUUGCAGGGUAUAGACCCGAAACCCGGUGAUCUAGCCAUGGGCAGGUUGAAGGUUGGGUAACACUAACUGGAGGACCGAACCGACUAAUGUUGAAAAAUUAGCGGAUGACCUGUGGCUGGGGGUGAAAGGCCAAUCAAACCGGGAGAUAGCUGGUUCUCCCCGAAAGCUAUUUAGGUAGCGCCUCGUGAAUUCAUCUCCGGGGGUAGAGCACUGUUUCGGCUAGGGGGCCAUCCCGGCUUACCAACCCGAUGCAAACUGCGAAUACCGGAGAAUGUUAUCACGGGAGACACACGGCGGGUGCUAACGUCCGUCGUGAAGAGGGAAACAACCCAGACCGCCAGCUAAGGUCCCAAAGUCAUGGUUAAGUGGGAAACGAUGUGGGAAGGCCCAGACAGCCAGGAUGUUGGCUUAGAAGCAGCCAUCAUUUAAAGAAAGCGUAAUAGCUCACUGGUCGAGUCGGCCUGCGCGGAAGAUGUAACGGGGCUAAACCAU